CUGCUGCCUUCCGUAGGAGUUUGGUCCGUGUCUCAGUACCAAUGUGGGGGGUUGACCUCUCAGUCCCCCUAUGUAUCGUCGCCUUGGUGAGCCGUUACCUCACCAACUAGCUAAUACAACGCAUGUCCAUCUCUGACCACCUGAGUUUUCAACCACCGAAGAUGCCUCCGGUGAUGUUAUGGGGUAUUAGUACCAAUUUCUCGAUGUUAUCCCCCUGUCAAAGGUAGGUUACAUACGCGUUACGCACCCGUCGCCGGUCGCCGGCA
rnacentral:rRNA from 1 species